rnacentral:rRNA from 1 species
UAAACCGUACUGAAAACCGACACAGGUGGUCAGGUAGAGAAUACUCAGGCGCUUGAGAGAACUCGGGUGAAGGAACUAGGCAAAAUAGCACCGUAACUUCGGGAGAAGGUGCGCUGGCGUAGGUUGUAGGAGUAUACCUCCGAAGGCUGAACCAGUCGAAGAUACCAGCUGGCUGCAACUGUUUAUUAAAAACACAGCACUCUGCAAACACGAAAGUGGACGUAUAGGGUGUGAUGCCUGCCCGGUGCUGGAAGGUUAAUUGAUGGUGUAAUCGAAAGAGAAGCUCCUGAUCGAAGCCCCAGUAAACGGCGGCCGUAACUAUAACGGUCCUAAGGUAGCGAAAUUCCUUGUCGGGUAAGUUCCGACCUGCACGAAUGGCAUAAUGAUGGCCAGGCUGUCUCCACCCGAGACUCAGUGAAAUUGAAAUCGCCGUGAAGAUGCGGUGUACCCGCGGCUAGACGGAAAGACCCCGUGAACCUUUACUAUAGCUUGACACUGAACAUUGAAUUUUGAUGUGUAGGAUAGGUGGGAGCCUAAGAAGCAGUCACGCCAGUGAUUGUGGAGGCGUCCUUGAAAUACCACCCUUUAACGUUUGAUGUUCUAACGAAGAUUGCGAAACGCGGUCUCGGACAGUGUCUGGUGGGUAGUUUGACUGGGGCGGUCUCCUCCCAAAGAGUAACGGAGGAGCACGAAGGUUUGCUAAUCACGGUCGGACAUCGUGAGGUUAGUGCAAUGGUAUAAGCAAGCUUAACUGCGAGACAGACAAGUCAAGCAGGUGCGAAAGCAGGUCAUAGUGAUCCGGUGGUUCUGAAUGGAAGGGCCAUCGCUCAACGGAUAAAAGGUACUCCGGGGAUAACAGGCUGAUACCGCCCAAGAGUUCAUAUCGACGGCGGUGUUUGGCACCUCGAUGUCGGCUCAUCACAUCCUGGGGCUGAAGUAGGUCCCAAGGGUAUGGCUGUUCGCCAUUUAAAGUGGUACGCGAGCUGGGUUUAGAACGUCGUGAGACAGUUCGGUCCCUAUCUGCCGUGGGCGUUGGAGAAUUGAGAGGGGCUGCUCCUAGUACGAGAGGACCGGAGUGGACGCAUCACUGGUGUGCCAGUUGUCUCGCCAGAGGCACUGCUGGGUAGCUAAAUGCGGAAGAGAUAAGUGCUGAAAGCAUCUAAGCACGAAACUCGCCUUAAGAUGAGUUCUCCCACACAAUAAGUGUGUAAGGGUUGUUGGAGACGACGACGUAGAUAGGUCUGGUGUGUAAGCGGUGUGAGCCGUUGAGCUAACAGAUACUAAUUGCCCGAGAGGCUUAACUAU